rnacentral:rRNA from 1 species
ACGCUCGACACCUACGGGGGCAGCAGUGGGGAAUAUUGCACAAUGGGGGAAACCCUGAUGCAGCAACGCCGCGUGAAGGAAGACGGUUUUCGGAUUGUAAACUUCUGUUCUUAGUGAAGAUAGUGACGGUAGCUAAGGAGCAAGCCACGGCUAACUACGUGCCAGCAGCCACGGUAAUCUGAGCGGGCUGGCAAGGC